UUUUUUGAAAAAAAUCUAAAUUUAGUAAAACUUGCGUAAAAACUUAAAAUCGGUCAAAAACCAUAAAUCGGCUGAAAAACAUAAAAUCGACCAAAAGCCCUAAAAUCGACUAUAAACUCUAAAAUCGGCUGAAAACCCAAAAAAAUAAUCGAAAACCCAAAAAUCGACCCUAAACCCAAAAAAUCGGCCGAAAAACCUAAAAUCGGUCAAAAACCAUAAAUCGGCUGAAAAACCUAAAAUCGACCAAAAGCCCUAAAA
rnacentral:lncRNA from 1 species